UCUUCCGCAAUGGACGAAAGUCUGACGGAGCAACGCCGCGUGAGUGAUGAAGGUUUUCGGAUCGUAAAACUCUGUUGUUAGGGAAGAACAAGUACCGUUCGAAUAGGGCGGUACCUUGACCGUACCGAACCAGAAAGCCCCGGAUAACUCCGUGCCAGCAGCCGCGGUAAUACGUAGGUGGCAAGCCUUGUCCGGAAUCAUUGGGCGUAAAGCGCGCGCAGGCGGUUUCUUAAGUCGGAUGUGAAAGCCCCCGGCUCAACCGGGGAGGGUCAUUGGAAACUGGGGAACUUGAGUGCAGAAGAGGAGAGUGGAAUUCCACGUGUAGCGGUGAAAUGCGUAGAGAUGUGUAGGAACACCAGUGGCGAAGGCGACUCUCUGGUCUGUAACUGACGCUGAGGCGCGAAAGCGUGGGGAGCGAACAGG
rnacentral:rRNA from 1 species